UACAGAGGUCCCAAGCGUUGUUCGGAUUCACUGGGCGUAAAGGGUGCGUAGGUGGCGAGGUAAGUUUGAUGUGAAAUCUCCGGGCUUAACCCGGAAACUGCAUUGAAUACUAUCUUGCUUGAGGGUUGGAGGGGGGACUGGAAUUCUCGGUGUAGCAGUGAAAUGCGUAGAUAUCGAGAGGAACACCAGUGGCGAAGGCGAGUCCCUGGACAACUCCUGACGCUGAGGCACGAAAGCGUGGGGAGCAAACGGG
rnacentral:rRNA from 1 species